ACCAGGCUUAAAAGGCUUUCGCCACCCCUUCGGACCAUGCUCAGGUUUUAAGGCAAGCAAAGAAGUUUAUUCUAUAUUUUUUUUUCUUUUUCUUUUUCUUUUUCUUCUUUUUUUAUUUUUAUUUUUUCAAAGACUCAUUGGUCUUUAUGAGGUGUCCCAACACUAUUAAAGAGAGGUUAAAGGUGUCAAAUUAUGGUUUCUCAAGCUUA
rnacentral:lncRNA from 1 species